CAAUAGUACAUACAGUAUUUGACCAUUAAUCUUUUGACAUUUUAGGGGAAGCUGAGCUUCCCUUGCAGUCUUAAAGAAAUUGCCACUGACGGACAGAAACAGAAA